UAUUAAUAGGCGUAGUAGUACGCAGGAAUAUUACUCCUAAGGUCGUAGGUUUUAAUCCUAUAUUAAUAA
rnacentral:tRNA from 1 species